CUAAAAUUAACCACCUGGCAGGAACCAAUUAAAUACACAGCAAAGAAAGAGAAAUAGCGUUAACUGAGCAAGGAAAAAGAAUCUUCUAAUAAAAAGCCCCAAAUGAUUUUCGGUGUGUUGAUAAAGCACACAACGAAAUAAAUUUAAAACAUAAAAUAAAUAAAUAACUAAAUAAAAUGAUCUCUGCGGCCCCGCACUAAGCCGUCGAUCAUGCUAGUAACUGUGAGGAUGUCCUUGACAUCUUGGUGGCAGCGUGUGGCGUCGUGUGGCGGCGUGGGGGGGAGCUGUUGGUCCAUGCAAGUUAGUCGGGAAGAAAAUUUUUUCCAAGGUUGAUACGAUGAUGAAAUCGAGAACGAAAGUUAGUCCCUAUAUAU
rnacentral:sRNA from 2 species